GCNGGAUCGACUAUGUCGAAUAAAAUUCUAGGUAGAAUUAUGAUAAUGACAUUGUCUGCCUAUGUGUCUUGACCAANNUNCGUGCCAGCAGUCGCGGUAAUACGUAGAAGACUAGUGUUAUUCAUGUUUAAUCGGUUUAAAGGGUACCUAGACGGUAAAUCAAGCCUAAAAUUAAAUGAAGGGACUAAUUUACUAGAGUUACUUAUGAGGGGGUAUUAAAGUACUGCUGGUGUAGAGAUGAAAUUCUGUCAUACCUCUUUUCAAUAGAAAAACAAUGGCACAGGUAUAGGCGAAAGCAUCCCCUUAUGUGAUAACUGACGUUGAGGGACGAAGGCUUUGUGUAGCGAACAGGAUUAGAUACCCCAGUAGUCAAAGCAGAAAAUGAUGAAUGUCAUAGAUUAGAUAAAUAAGUUUAUUCUAUAAAUGAAAGUGUAAGCAUUCCACCUCAAGAGUAAUUUGGCAACAUUGGAACUGAAAUCAUUAGACCGUUUCUGAAACCAGUAGUGAAGUAUGUUGUUUAAUUUGAUGAUCCGCAAAAAACCUUACCACAAUUUGAAUAUUUAUAUUUUUUUAUUGUUUUCUUUUUAAUUUUCUUCUGAUUUGAUUUUUCUAAAGAAAAAAAGAAAAAGAGGCGAUAUGAUAUAUUUACAAGCGUUGCACGGCUGUCUUCAGUUAAUGUCGCGAGACUUUGGUUAGUUCCAUUAAAUUAACGUAAACCCUUACUUUAUUUUUAUAUAGAGUAGUUCCCCGCUAUAUUGGAUAUGAUAACC
rnacentral:rRNA from 1 species